ACAUAUUCAUUAUCCCACAACUGUGCUUAGAGACACAGAGAGUCAAAUUGAGACUUUAAAGAAGUUCAAAAAAUUCACUUAUUUUGGAUCUAUUAGUCGACAAAUCUCUACUAUAUCUGCUGCCUUGUGCCAAAAGUUUCACAUUUUGCUGUGGAAUGCCCUCAUUAAUCUAGUUCCAGGCAUCAAAUACAUAAGUGAUAUAAAGUUGAUGCACAUUCAAACCCUUGAAAUAGUUUGAAUGAUGUGCCAUGAGGGAGUUAUAUGGAUUAAUGCUGAAGCCUCGAAGUCAUUGGCUACUCCAAUUUUAACAGCCACAAGAUUCGGGAUUUGCGAGAUUGCACGCGAAAUUUUCAAUGCCUAUUUCUAUUCUUGUUUUUUUGAACAAUUAACAUGUUAUUUCAUGUUCAGGCUGUGGAAAGUUAUGUCCAUUCAUCCUUUCAAGAUCAA